rnacentral:rRNA from 1 species
GGGUUGUGAGGUUAAGCGACUAAGCGUACACGGUGGAUGCCCUGGCAGUCAGAGGCGAUGAAGGACGUGCUAAUCUGCGAUAAGCGUCGGUAAGGUGAUAUGAACCGUUAUAACCGGCGAUUUCCGAAUGGGGAAACCCAGUGUGUUUCGACACACUAUCAUUAACUGAAUCCAUAGGUUAAUGAGGCGAACCGGGGGAACUGAAACAUCUAAGUACCCCGAGGAAAAGAAAUCAACCGAGAUUCCCCCAGUAGCGGCGAGCGAACGGGGAGGAGCCCAGAGCCUGAAUCAGUGUGUGUGUUAGUGGAAGCGUCUGGAAAGGCGCGCGAUACAGGGUGACAGCCCCGUACACAAAAAUGCACAUGCUGUGAGCUCGAUGAGUAGGGCGGGACACGUGGUAUCCUGUCUGAAUAUGGGGGGACCAUCCUCCAAGGCUAAAUACUCCUGACUGACCGAUAGUGAACCAGUACCGUGAGGGAAAGGCGAAAAGAACCCCGGCGAGGGGAGUGAAAAAGAACCUGAAACCGUGUACGUACAAGCAGUGGGAGCACGCUUAGGCGUGUGACUGCGUACCUUUUGUAUAAUGGGUCAGCGACUUAUAUUCUGUAGCAAGGUUAACCGAAUAGGGGAGCCGAAGGGAAACCGAGUCUUAACUGGGCGUUAAGUUGCAGGGUAUAGACCCGAAACCCGGUGAUCUAGCCAUGGGCAGGUUGAAGGUUGGGUAACACUAACUGGAGGACCGAACCGACUAAUGUUGAAAAAUUAGCGGAUGACUUGUGGCUGGGGGUGAAAGGCCAAUCAAACCGGGAGAUAGCUGGUUCUCCCCGAAAGCUAUUUAGGUAGCGCCUCGUGAACUCAUCUCCGGGGGUAGAGCACUGUUUCGGCAAGGGGGUCAUCCCGACUUACCAACCCGAUGCAAACUGCGAAUACCGGAGAAUGUUAUCACGGGAGACACACGGCGGGUGCUAACGUCCGUCGUGAAGAGGGAAACAACCCAGACCGCCAGCUAAGGUCCCAAAGUCAUGGUUAAGUGGGAAACGAUGUGGGAAGGCCCAGACAGCCAGGAUGUUGGCUUAGAAGCAGCCAUCAUUUAAAGAAAGCGUAAUAGCUCACUGGUCGAGUCGGCCUGCGCGGAAGAUGUAACGGGGCUAAACCAUGCACCGAAGCUGCGGCAGCGACGCUUAUGCGUUGUUGGGUAGGGGAGCGUUCUGUAAGCCUGNNNNNNNNNNNNNNNNNNNNNNNNNNNNNNNNNNNNNNNNNNNNNNNNNNNNNNNNNNNNNNNNNNNNNNNNNNNNNNNNNNNNNNNNNNNNNNNNNNNCAGCGCAAGCGAAGCUCUUGAUCGAAGCCCCGGUAAACGGCGGCCGUAACUAUAACGGUCCUAAGGUAGCGAAAUUCCUUGUCGGGUAAGUUCCGACCUGCACGAAUGGCGUAAUGAUGGCCAGGCUGUCUCCACCCGAGACUCAGUGAAAUUGAACUCGCUGUGAAGAUGCAGUGUACCCGCGGCAAGACGGAAAGACCCCGUGAACCUUUACUAUAGCUUGACACUGAACAUUGAGCCUUGAUGUGUAGGAUAGGUGGGAGGCUUUGAAGUGUGGACGCCAGUCUGCAUGGAGCCGACCUUGAAAUACCACCCUUUAAUGUUUGAUGUUCUAACGUUGACCCGUAAUCCGGGUUGCGGACAGUGUCUGGUGGGUAGUUUGACUGGGGCGGUCUCCUCCUAAAGAGUAACGGAGGAGCACGAAGGUUGGCUAAUCCUGGUCGGACAUCAGGAGGUUAGUGCAAUGGCAUAAGCCAGCUUGACUGCGAGCGUGACGGCGCGAGCAGGUGCGAAAGCAGGUCAUAGUGAUCCGGUGGUUCUGAAUGGAAGGGCCAUCGCUCAACGGAUAAAAGGUACUCCGGGGAUAACAGGCUGAUACCGCCCAAGAGUUCAUAUCGACGGCGGUGUUUGGCACCUCGAUGUCGGCUCAUCACAUCCUGGGGCUGAAGUAGGUCCCAAGGGUAUGGCUGUUCGCCAUUUAAAGUGGUACGCGAGCUGGGUUUAGAACGUCGUGAGACAGUUCGGUCCCUAUCUGCCGUGGGCGCUGGAGAACUGAGGGGGGCUGCUCCUAGUACGAGAGGACCGGAGUGGACGCAUCACUGGUGUUCGGGUUGUCAUGCCAAUGGCACUGCCCGGUAGCUAAAUGCGGAAGAGAUAAGUGCUGAAAGCAUCUAAGCACGAAACUUGCCCCGAGAUGAGUUCUCCCUGACUCCUUGAGAGUCCUGAAGGAACGUUGAAGACGACGACGUUGAUAGGCCGGGUGUGUAAGCGCAGCGAUGCGUUGAGCUAACCGGUACUAAUGAACCGUGAGGCUUAACCUUACAACGCCGAAG